UAACACGUGGGGAACCUGCCCCAUAGUCUGGGAUACCACUUGGAAACAGGUGCUAAUACCGGAUAAGAAAGCAGAUCGCAUGAUCAGCUUUUAAAAGGCGGCGUAAGCUGUCGCUAUGGGAUGGCCCCGCGGUGCAUUAGUUAGUUGGUAAGGUAAAGGCUUACCAAGGCGAUGAUGCAUAGCCGAGUUGAGAGACUGAUCGGCCACAUUGGGACUGAGACACGGCCCAAACUCCUACGGGAGGCAGCAGUC
rnacentral:rRNA from 1 species